AGUUGUGCAAUCUAUGUCCUACUUUUUAAUUCUGUUCAUGGACAAGUGUUAGUAUGUAUGUAUUUGUGUUACUUGCCCACUCAAGCCUAUAUUGUCUGAUUGCUGAACACAAUAAGAAGGUAGAUUUGCUUGUUCAAAAGAAGAGAAUGUGGAAAGAGGAUUAUUAGAAGGCAGACUAGUUUUAGCUUGAUUUUUCCUCUAUCGUCAACAUCAUUAGAUCUAAAUUUAGUUAAUUUUAUUAGUAAAACUUUGAAUGGGUUUUGUGUCAGGAAAACAUCCCUUCUAAAUUAUGUUGAGGCUUGCAUUAUGUCUGAUGCUUAUUUAAGGGGCACCCAUGUCACAACUGAGUUUGAGGCCUUGAAUGGGAUAAAAAUGUUCUUUCUAGAUUAAGUCAGGGCUUCUAUGAGGCCUGCAAGAGGAAAUCUACAGUAACGUGGCUAAUCUAGGAAGGGUGGCAGGAUAAAUGAUGCAAGACGAAAACAACUCCAGGUCGCCUUCAAUCUUCAACACUCAAAAUAAUUAACAAACGCAAUAGCAGAGACACUUUGCUUUCUUCAAUUGAAAUGUAGUCUUGAAAAGAUGCCCGUCCUCUGUUCACAGACCGUGAGGAUGCUGAAGGUUGAGCAAUUUGGCUUUACGCCUGCCACAUUGAUUCGCUUGGAAGUAUCUAAAGCCUUUUCGACAUUGAGGCAUUCUGUCAAACAGUUCAGGUGCCUUUCUCUGCUUCCCAAUUUUGCAUACAUAACUACCACAUCAUCUGACAAAAUUUUUUAAAGAUGGAUGCCUAUGCCCUGUUCCAAAGCUCCCUUUCACAAAUUGUAAGAGUACUGGCAAAGGCUGUGGGCAUUGGCUUAACACCUGCCAAUUGCAUAAAUACUUUAAACUUUUGCAAGGUAUCUAUAUAGUAUAUAUCCAUUUUGAUGUAUAUUCUGCAAUCACUGCGUUGAUAUCUCUCUGUAAACAAUUAAGUGCGUUGCCUAUAAUUUCACAUUGUGCAUACAUAUAUACAGAGCAAGGUUCCUUAACAUACUCAGGACCGAGUUCAUAUUUUAAACUUUCCCUUUCACCCUCUUCUGAUAAGCCAAACGAAACUGAAGAAAAUAAACCAAACAAAUGUUUUUGGGCGAUGCAGAUCGCCAAUAGACACGGAUGCUCCUGCAUCAAUAAAUGAGGAGAAUUUCUGAGAAUACAGCUUAUGUUUGAUAUUAGGAAAAUGAAGCAAGGAUGGCUGAAUAAACUGUGAAGGGAAUCAAUGUGAGAAGAUAUUUUUGUUCAGUGCGCAGAAACACAUGCAUGACCUUAUCUGGGCCUGUUUCUGAUCCAAAAGAUCUCGCAAAGUGGAAUCAUGAUCGAUCUAGUACUGGAGAGGCACUUGAAAAGGACAGUGAAGUCAUUCUACAUCGUCAGGCUAUCUUCAGAGAUCCAUUCCAUAGGGCAAAGAACAUCUUGGUAAGUUGCUAUGCCAUUAAAACAUAGUGAAUUUGGAUGGUCUGCGUCACUUUGUGCACCAUUGAUUAAUGGAGCUGCUUGUGGGCUUUUCGAUAGAUACAAAUUUGGGUGUAAACAGUCUACAGCAACCAAAGGCCCUAAAAAUGGCUAUGCACACUGAAAUUACCCCGAAUAUGAACCAUUAAAGUUAGCACAAGAAGCUAUUUAAUGUGAAAAUAAAUUAUGCUUGCCAUUUGUCUAUGAAGAAAGCUCAAAAAUUAACAGUCAGAACACUCCAUGCUAAUA